rnacentral:lncRNA from 1 species
UGAUCACAGCUCACUGCAGCCUCAACCUGGCUCAAGCAAUCCUUCCUCCUCAGCCUCCUGAGUAGCUGGGACCACAGACUCAUGUCACCACACCUAAUUUUUUUUUUUUUUUUUUUUUGUAGAGACAAGGUCUCACUAUGUUGCCCAGGCUGGUCUUGAACUCCUAGGCUGAAGCAAUCCUCCUUCCUUGGCCUCCCAAAGCACUGGGAUUAUAGACGUGAGCCACUGCACCAGUCUGCCUUUAGCUUCUUUUAGUCUAGAACAUUUUCACUGGCUUUCUUUGUCUUUUAUGACAUUGACAUUUUUAAAUAAUACAGUCAUUUUGCCUCCUCUCUGUUUUCUUCUUCUUUUUUUAAAUAAUAGAAUGGUCCUUGUUUUAAAUUUAUUUGAUGUUUUCUUAUGAUUAGAUUCAGGUGCUGGGUGAUGUUAAGUUCCUCACAGGAUAUCACAUCUGGAGGCACACAAAGGCCGUCACACCAAGGCGAUGUCAAUUUUGGUCAUCUGGUCAAGGUCAGGCCAGGAGCCUAGGCUAAAGGAAACUUCACCACCGGGGACAUCAGCUGCUGUGGCCAGAGAAGAGAACAUGGUGAAUAAUGCUUCAUACCUUAGGGCAGGGCUUCUCAAAUUUAAACGUGCAUAGGCAUCUCCUGGGGAGCUUAUUAAAUUCACAUUCUGAUUCAGGAGGUCCUGGAGGGCCUGAGAUGCC